ensembl:lncRNA
CACAGAACAAAUACUAGCAUUGUGCUACCGUUAAGAGAAGGCAGUUCACAUACUUCCUGUUACUGACGGCCUUGGCAUGACCAAUAUUUACAGAAAUGUUAUGGGUUAGACAGCACACAAUUAAACUUGUCAUAACACAACUCAUCCAAGAAAAAGAUGCGAGGAGAGAUGAGAGGAUGAUGUCAGCUGGCAGACAGAGAGGGGAGAGGAGAGGAAGAGAGACAGACCGCAGACCGCAUGGAAGAAAAUCAAAACUCCCUCAGGUAAGCUACUUACCCUGUCUCAAGAGCCUCUUACACAAAUCUCCAUAAGGAUGAGAGAGAGGCAGAGGGGGAUCAUAUCUCAUCAGCAUGUGCUUCUUGGUGUGUCUUGUUAUCACUGAGCGCUGAUUCUGUGUGACGAUGUUAAACAGCAUGAUCACUGACCCAGUACUACUGUAGGGAUCAAAAUGUCAUCCUGUGUAUGCGGUCACGGUAAUUGUGUGGCUGCCCUCUGGGGCGACUGAUCGGAGAGAGAGAAAGAGAGACAAAUACAGCAGUUCAGACUUCACAAUCACGAUUCCCAAGAGCAUUGCACACAGUUUUUCAAUACAACUUCUCGCCCACAUGUAACUUCUUGCAUGCAUCUGUGGAUGGAUGAAUUGGAAAAGUAUAAACAAAUGAAGUGAAAAAGAGCCACAAAGAAUGAGAGAGGAAAGGAAUGAUGGGCCUUCUCCAAACAGAAAGGUGCUUUGAUAGAGGAGCAUCUCUGUGCUGAAACACUUUGCACCCAUCUCUCUUUCUCUCUCUCUCUCCCUCGCUCACACUCUUUCUGUAACUUAAAGAAUGCUCGCCAGUGCUGGAUUAAUUAAACUCUAAACAUUAAAUAUUGAUUGAUGCAUUAUCAGCACCUCCCAGUUGCUUCCGCCGAGAUUGAUUUCCGACGUGAUUUAUUGUCAUAUUUGUAGAGUCAUUUCACUUGAUAACAAAGAGGAAUUGCUGCUCACAACCUCAGACCACCCCCCGUUUCUACUUCCUCUGUCUCCCCCCCAAACCACCAGCCUCUCUGCUCACUUUUCCCUCUGCUUCUCUCCCUUUCUCUCUCUCUCUCCAUUUGUUAGGUGUAAGAUAUGUCUGCACACAGCCUGUGUAUAUUAUCAUUAUUCAAAUUGAAAUGAUAAAACAGCCCAUGACUGAUGUUUUUCAUCUUUGUCCUGCUUGCCUAUCAUCCCGCUCUGAAUGAAUCCAUAGUGAAAAUGGCUGGUUAAAUCAGCAGCUAUAAUUCAUGAAACAGAAUCUUCACCUUUUGUUCAGUUUAAAUCCUCAAUGGUUU